CUAAAGUUAGAUAUUCUGGGCAAAUAUCAAGUUUACUGCCAAAAUCCCAAAGUUUGCUUGGAAAUCUUGGAUUUGCUCAAUUGUCUAACAUCGAGCACGCAUAUUUUUUGAUCCACAAUUUCAAAUUCCACAUUGUUUUUUAUUUUUAUUUUAUUUAUUAUUUUGUUUGUUUGUUUGUUUUUUUUAUUUUUUAUUUUUUUUUGCAUUAAAUUUCUAAAUUCCACUAUCUUUUUGAUCCACAAUUUCAAAUUUCAAUCUAUCUUUUUAUUCCACCCUUUUGCUCGAGUUGGACAAAGCAUGAGAAGCAGGAUUGAUCUGGAAAAAUUCUUAACUUUAGUUUGAAUUCUUAUAAUAAGUUUCUUGU
rnacentral:lncRNA from 1 species